rnacentral:rRNA from 1 species
UACAGAGGGUGCAAGCGUUAAUCGGAAUGACUGGGCGUAAAGGGCGCGUAGGCGGAUAAUUAAGUUAGAUGUGAAAUACCUGGGCUUAACCUGGGUGCUGCAUAUAAUACUGGUUAUCUUGAGUAGAGUAGAGGGAAGUGGAAUUUCCGGUGUAGCGGUGAAAUGCGUAGAUAUCGGAAAGAACACCAGUGGCGAAGGCGGCUUUCUGGACUCAUACUGACGCUGAGGCGCGAAAGCGUGGGGAGCAAACAGG